GGGAAUCUUCCACAAUGGGCGCAAGCCUGAUGGAGCAACACCGCGUGAGUGAAGAAGGGUUUCGGCUCGUAAAGCUCUGUUGUUAAAGAGAACACGUAUGAGAGUAACUGUUCAUACGUUGACGGUAUUUAACCAGAAAGUCACGGCUAACUACGUGCCAGCAGCCGCGGUAAUACGUAGGUGGCAAGCGUUAUCCGGAUUUAUUGGGCGUAAAGAGAGUGCAGGCGGUUUCUAAGUCUGAUGUGAAAGCCUUCGGCUUAACCGGAGAAGUGCAUCGGAAACUGGAUAACUUGAGUGCAGAAGAGGGUAGUGGAACUCCAUGUGUAGCGGUGGAAUGCGUAGAUAUAUGGAAGAACACCAGUGGCGAAGGCGGCUACCUGGUCUGCAACUGACGCUGAGACUCGAAAGCAUGGGUAGCGAACAGGAUUAGAUACCCUGGUAG
rnacentral:rRNA from 1 species